AUGAACGCUGGCGGCGUGCCUAAUACAUGCCCGUCGAGCGCACGGACGAGAAGCUUGCUUCUCUGAUGUUAGCGGCGGACGGGUGAGUAACACGUGGAUAACCUACCUAUAAGACUGGGAUAACUUCGGGAAACCGGAGCUAAUACCGGAUAAUAUUUUGUACCGCAUGGUUCAAAAGUGAAAGACGGUCUUGCUGUCACUUAUAGAUGGAUCCGCGCUGCAUUAGCUAGUUGGUAAGGUAACGGCUUACCAAGGCAACGAUGCAUAGCCGACCUGAGAGGGUGAUCGGCCACACUGGAACUGAGACACGGUCCAGACUCCUACGGGAGGCAGCAGUAGGGAAUCUUCCGCAAUGGGCGAAAGCCUGACGGAGCAACGCCGCGUGAGUGAUGAAGGUCUUCGGAUCGUAAAACUCUGUUAUUAGGGAAGAACAUAUGUGUAAGUAACUGUGCACAUCUUGACGGUACCUAAUCAGAAAGCCACGGCUAACUACGUG
rnacentral:rRNA from 1 species